ACAGAAACCGUGGAGACACCCUCCCCCCCACCCACAGUGUGGUUUAGGCAAAGCAAUAGGCACCAAAGUGGGUAGGGAGCUCUGGGCCCCUCUCGCUGCCCUGAUUAAUGCUUCUCUGCCCACUGAGGAGCCCCUGCGUCCCCGGGGGAUUGAAACGCCUCUCUGGAGACAUCCUCAGGGUGAGUGGGGCGGAGUUCCUUCGGUCAGUGGCUUGCUGUUUGAGUUCCGAUGAAGAACAGCUACAAGCAGGAAAGUGAGUGUUAGAUGAUGCUCUCUCCCACCAAGGAAUAACAAUCGAGCAAGUACCUGGGUUCACUCCCUGCUCAGGACUCUUUGAGAGCGGCACCCCAGGAUCUGAGACCUGGAGAUUCCUGGGUACCAACUCAAAUGCCAGUUCUUUGGGUCGGAGGCUCCGGGGCCUUCUUUGCUCGGUUUGAGACAAUGCGGCCUCUACCCCAUUCCCUGCAGCGUGUCUGAAGAGACUGUGCUCUUUGCAAGGGCAAGAAAUGGUAAAGGAACGCUCGCGCUGCAGGAAAGCAGUCCCCUUCCCGUCGUUUCAUAGCUCUGGCUCCUCUGGAGAUGCUUUUCCAGGAAGUGUACCCAACUCCCCCGGGCGCCGCUCACCAGCGGCUGGGAGCUCCGGCCACACAAGCUGCGAAGACCCAGGAUCAGGGAAGCCAAGGAUACGAUGACCUGCAGGACACAGACAGCCAGGAGCAGAGCACGGAUGCCGAGGAACACGUUCUGGAGACGAAGGAAGCAAAAAGACACAGUCAGGAGUCUGCUCCUCUGAUUCUGCUCUUACCACCACCUUAGCAACCCGACCAGGAAUUCUUAUGCCGCGAGGGUCUGAGAAACGUCUCCCGCUUAAGUUAAAACCUCCCGAGCCGCAGACCUAGGAUGAGGUCCACACUCCAAGAGCUUACAUCUCUGCCUGCCAGUGCCCCAGCUCCUCGGGAACAGACAGUUGUGGUGGG